rnacentral:rRNA from 1 species
AGAGUUUGAUCCUGGCUCAGGAUGAACGCUGACAGAAUGCUUAACACAUGCAAGUCAAUGGGGAAACGGUGCUUGCACCGUGAUAACCAUGGCGGACGGGUGAGUAACGCGUAAAGAACUUGCCUCUUAGUCUGGGAUAACAGAUGGAAACGACUGAUAAGACUAGAUAUUAUUAAAGCUUCGCAUGAAGCUUUAAUGAAAAGAGAUGCUAAGAGAGAGCUUUGCGUCCUAUUAGUUAGUUGGUGAGGUAACGGCUCACCAAGACGAAGAUAGGUAGCCGGUCUGAGAGGAUGAACGGCCACAAGGGGACUGAGAUACGGCCCUUACUCUUACGGGAGGCAGCAGUGGGGAAUAUUGGACAAUGGAGGAGACUCUGAUCCAGCAAUUCUGUGUGCACGAAGACGGUUUUCGGAUUGUAAAGUGCUUUCAGCAGGGAAGAAGCAAGUGACGGUACCUGCAGAAGAAGCGACGGCUAAAUACGUGCCAGCAGCCGCGGUAAUACGUAUGUCGCGAGCGUUAUCCGGAAUUAUUGGGCAUAAAGGGCAUCUAGGCGGAUAUACAAGUCAGGGGUGAAAACUUAGGGCUCAACUCAAAGCUUGCCUUUGAAACUGUAUAUCUAGAGUGCUGGAGAGGUGGACGGAACUACACGAGUAGAGGUGAAAUUCGUAGAUAUGUGUAGGAAUGCCGAUGAUGAAGAUAGUCCACUGGACAGCAACUGACGCUGAAGUGCGAAAGCUAGGGGAGCAAACAGGAUUAGAUACCCUGGUAGUCCUAGCUGUAAACGAUGAUUACUGGGUGUGGGCAUGAAGAGUGUCUGUGCCGAAGCUAAUGCGAUAAGUAAUCCGCCUGGGGAGUACGACCGCAAGGUUGAAACUCAAAGGAAUUGACGGGGACCCGCACAAGCGGUGGAGCAUGUGGUUUAAUUCGACGCAACGCGAGGAACCUUACCAGCGUUUGACAUCUUAGGAAUGAGACAGAGAUGUUUCAGUGUCACUUCGGUGAAACCUAAAGACAGGUGGUGCAUGGCUGUCGUCAGCUCGUGUCGUGAGAUGUUGGGUUAAGUCCCGCAACGAGCGCAACCCCUAUAGUUAGUUACCAUCAUUAAGUUGGGGACUCUAACUAGACUGCCUGCGAAGAGCAGGAGGAAGGUGGGGAUGACGUCAAGUCAUCAUGCCCCUUAUGAUCUGGGCUACACACGUGCUACAAUGGUUGGUACAAAGAGGAGCAAAACGGUGACGUGGAGCAAAACUAAAAAGCCAAUCUAAGUUCGGAUUGAAGUCUGCAACUCGACUUCAUGAAGUUGGAAUCGCUAGUAAUCGCAAAUCAGCAAUGUUGCGGUGAAUACGUUCUCGGGUCUUGUACACACCGCCCGUCACACCACGAGAGUUGUCUGCACCUGAAGUUACUGGUCUAACUUUGGAGGAAGGUACCUAAGGUGUGGAUAGUGAUUGGGGUGAAGUCGUAACAAGGUAUCCGUACCGGAAGGUGCGGAUG